UACGAAGGGGGCUAGCGUUGCUCGGAAUUACUGGGCGUAAAGGGAGCGUAGGCGGAUAUUUAAGUCAGGGGUGAAAUCCCAGAGCUCAACUCUGGAACUGCCUUUGAUACUGGGUAUCUUGAGUAUGGAAGAGGUGAGUGGAAUUCCGAGUGUAGAGGUGAAAUUCGUAGAUAUUCGGAGGAACACCAGUGGCGAAGGCGGCUCACUGGUCCAUUACUGACGCUGAGGUGCGAAAGCGUGGGGAGCAAACAGG
rnacentral:rRNA from 1 species